rnacentral:rRNA from 1 species
AUUGAACGCUGGCGGCAGGCCUAACACAUGCAAGUCGAACGGAGUGGUGGACGGGUGAGUAAUGUCUGGGAAACUGCCUGAUGGAGGGGGAUAACUACUGGAAACGGUAGCUAAUACCGCAUACUAUCAGAUGAGACUAGGUCGGAUUAGCUAGUUGGUGGGGUAAAGGCCUACCAAGGCGACGAUCCGUAACUGGUCUGAGCGGAUGAUCAGUCACAUGGGAACUGAGAAACGGUCCAGACUCCGACGGGAGGCAGCAGUGGGGAAUAUUGGACAAUGGGCGAAAGCCUGAUCCAGCCAUGCCGCGUGUGUGAAGAAGGUCUUCGGAUUGUAAAGCACGUUAAGUUGGGAGGCGUUACCAACUGAAUAAGCACCGGCUAACUUCGUGCCAGCCGCCGCGGUAAUAC